UCUGAUAUAUGGUAGGAUGCAUUUACUUGUACAAGAUAUUUUAUUUAUUUAUGUCUGUUUUCUUGGUGCUGGAGAUCUGGUGCUAGAGCGAACUGCAGCUCUAGCCAUGUGCAUGUUAAUUUAAAGGAAAAGGAUGCAACACUCCCACGCAUCUCUAAAGUACAGUACAUUUUUAAUCAUUAUUUUGCAAGACGCAGGAAGAAUCCAAAUUAGAAAGUGAACGGUUUGCAAAACACAGGAAAUAUCCAAAUUAGAAAGUGAAAUGACGUCAGAGCCAAGGCUUCAGAGCUAGUAUCAAGCUGGCCUUGCACAUCUGUUCUGAUGUUUAAGUUACUCAGAGCGGUUUAAAGAGUGGAGAUGAACGACUUUUUCAACAAAAACUCUAGGAACCGCUGUUUACAAGGAGCACACAGUAGACAACACCUUCCUUAACUUUCUUGCCCUUCUUCAUUACUACAGACACAGGAAACCAAGAGGCUAUAGAGGCAGGAAUGAGCUCACGCUGACAUGACGUCACGAGCACUUGACGUCAGAAGGCGGUUGCCACGGGGACCGUUCGCCACCGACGGCAGAGUCGUGAAACUCCAUCACCACACGACUCGGUUUUGGCCUCCGCGGGGUUGAAGCUGCUAGAGACGCUUCAACCUUAAGGGGGCCUCAGGGAGAGAGGAGUGGCGCCGCGGCGGAGCGCUCCCUCUCCGCGGCUGUGGGGAUUCCUGCCGCGGCCUGGGCGGCGGCGGCCGCUCCGCGUCUCCUCGUCGCUGCAGCGCGCGGGGCGGAUCCGCCAUAUUGGAGCCGGGGCUGCAGGUUCCGUGCGGCGGCGGCGGCGAGAGGCGGGCCUGGCAGCGGGGCCCGCGCGGCAGCGGCGGACGCGGGGGAACGCAUGAGCCGCCGCGGCUAGCCUCUUCCCCGCCCACCGCCUGCGCUGGGUCGUCGGGACCCGGCCGGGAGGGGCCGCGGCGGCCGCAGGAUGUUCUCUAAGAAGCCGCACGGGGACGUGAAGAAGUCCACCCAGAAGGUGCUGGACACCAAGAAGGACGCGCUGACCCGCCUCAAGCACCUGCGCAUCGUCAUCGAGAAUGCAGAAUCUAUUGACCUUAAACAGUUUUUUGACCAACAUUUUUCACAUAUAUACUAUGUGUUUUUUGAAAAUUUUGUGACUAUUGAAGCUAGUCUUAAACAGAAAGGUCACAAGUCUCAAAGAGAGGAAUUAGAUGCUAUACUUUUUAUUUUUGAGAAAAUUUUACAACUUCUUCCAGAAAGAAUUCAUCAGCGAUGGCAAUUCCAUAGUAUUGGGUUGAUUUUAAAGAAACUACUGCACACAGGAAACUCCUUAAAGAUCAGACGGGAAGGUGUUCGUCUCUUCUUGUUAUGGUUGCAAGCUCUUCAGGAUAACUGCAGCAAAGAACAGCUCUGGAUGUUUUCAUGCUUGAUCCCUGGAUUCUCAGCACCACAAUCCGAAUAUGGACCUCGGACUUUAGAUAAUCUUAUUAAUCCUCCACUCAGCCUUCAAGAAACUCAAGUAACUAUAGAGGAAGUCACUCCUCUUGUUCCGCCACAGUCAGGAGAUAAAGGACAAGAAGACCUCACAAGCUAUUUUCUUGAAGCACUUUUAAAAUACAUAGUAAUUCAGGUAAAAAGUUUAGAAUGGAAGAACAAAGAAAACCAAGAAAGGGGAUUUUCAUUUUUGUUUUCACAUUUUAAGAAGUUUUACUUGCCUUAUAUUUUCCCAAACAUUUGCAAGGAGAAUAGUUUGUAUCAUCCUGUACUUGAUAUCCCACAGAUCAGACCAAAGCCUCAUUAUGUGAUGAUAAAGAAGGAUGCUGAAACCAAUGAAACAAUAUAUUGUACAAAAGAGCCUUUCAUCCAGGCUCGGGUUAUUGUCAUUCGUUGGCUGGUUUCUUUCUGGCUGGAGCCAAAACCACAUUCAGGACCUAAUAUUCCUGGGAUGGAAGGUGAAGUCUUGCCAAAGAAUAUUCAGAGAGCAGCUGCUAGUUUGGUUUCCAGAGAAGAAAGCAAAAAUGAUACUGUUGAUAAAGUAGACAAGUCUGCAGAGCCUGAGCAGUCUCAUUCCAACACAAGCACUCUCACGGAGCGAGAGCCUAGCUCUUCCAGUCUCUGCAGCAUCGACGAAGAACAUCUCACAGACAUCGAAAUUGUUCGCAGAGUGUUUUCAUCUAAGAGAAGCAAUGUAAACUUUGUCACAGAGAUAUUUCGUCAGGCAUUUUUAUUACCAAUUUGUGAAGCAGCAGCUAUGAGAAAAGUGGUGAAAGUGUAUCAAGAAUGGAUUCAACAAGAGGAAAAGCCUUUGUUUAUGCAAGAGCCUGAGGACACUGCGAUCACUUGUUCAGAUAUACCCUGCAGCGAAACUGUUGCAGACCAUGACAGUGCAAUAGAAGAUGGAGAGAAAAGAGAAGAGGAAAAUGGGACCAGUACUUCUGAACAUGUUCGCAAUUCUAGCUGGACAAAAAAUGGUUCCUACCAAGAAGCUUUUCAUGUCUGUGAAGAAGCCACAGAACAGAAUAUUCAAGCUGGCACUCAGGCCGUUUUGCAGGUGUUUAUUAUAAACUCAUCGAACAUAUUUCUUCUUGAACCUGCAAAUGAAAUAAAGAAUCUUCUGGAUGAGCAUACAGAUAUGUGUAAACGCAUUCUUAAUAUUUAUCGAUACAUGGUUGUGCAAGUAUCAAUGGACAAAAAGACCUGGGAACAGAUGCUGCUCGUGCUGCUCAGAGUCACGGAGUCCGUACUGAAGAUGUCGUCACAAGCUUUUCUGCAGUUCCAGGGGAAAAAAAGCAUGACCCUGGCGGGUCGACUUGCAGGACCACUUUUUCAGACUCUCAUUGUUGCCUGGAUCAAAGCAAAUCUAAAUGUAUACAUUUCUCGAGAACUUUGGGAUGACUUACUUUCGGUAUUGUCAUCAUUGACCUAUUGGGAAGAAUUGGCCACUGAGUGGUCACUGACCAUGGAGACACUGACUAAAGUUUUGGCUAGAAAUUUAUAUAGUUUGGAUCUCAGUGAUUUGCCAUUGGAUAAGCUCAGUGAACAGAAACAAAAAAAGCACAAAGGGAAAGGAGUUGGACACGAAUUUCAGAAAGUUUCAGUUGACAAGUCAUUUUCUAGAGGAUGGAGUCGCGAUCAGCCUGGCCAGGCACCUAUGAGACAGAGAAGUGCAACGACCACUGGCUCCCCAGGAACUGAGAAGGCCAGGAGUAUAGUACGGCAAAAAACUGUUGCCAUGAGAAGCCGAUCCAUUGGUGAAUGUGCUCUGCCAUCGGCCUAUAUUCGCAGUGCUAAAAGUGCUCCUGUUCUGAUCCAUACUUCCAAACCCUUCUUGCCUGAUAUUGUUCUCACUCCCCUUUCUGAUGAGCUUUCAGAUAUUGAUGAUGCUCAAAUCCUUCCCCGCUCAACCAGAGUCAGACAUUUUUCACAGAGUGAAGACACUGGAAAUGAAGUUUUUGGUGCUUUGCAUGAGGAACAGCCACUGCCUCGAAGUAGCAGCACUUCUGACAUCUUGGAACCAUUCACUGUUGAGCGAGCCAAAGGUGCAGUUCCUGUCGUUGACAGUUCAUCCCGUCAUGCUCCAAGCUUGCAGAGUUCCACAGAGGCUUCGUCAAUAACUAGAUCCACUGAGAGCCACCUCACUGAUACUCAUAGUAGAGAGUCUUCUCUGGAAGUUGGUGAUAGCAUAUAUGACCAUCUUUGCCAUUUGAUAGGUCCAGUAGAACUUGCAGAUGCAGCUUUGGAUCAAAUCCAGUACAUUGACCUUGAAGGAGACGAUGACCUUCUUUCUUCUCUGAAAGAAUACUUUAAGGAAAACCAGGAAAGUCGUAGUAAAAGUGAGCUAGGGAAAGAUACAGCUUCCCAGGAAGUGCUUAUUGACGUAACUAGAGAGGAAAUACCAUCUUUCCAUAAAGUAGAGUACACAGGUCAGGAAGUAAAACCAGAAAAUCUCAUGUCUUUUGUUGGGACUUCUGAAAAUACACCAUUUCAAAAAGAACCAAGCUCAGCUGUCUUCACAAGUACUCUUGCACCUAACCAUUCAGAUAGCUAUCCAAGAUCACAAACUGCUGAAAAGGCUAAGCAACUAAGUCUUGAUGAACACUCAUCGGAUCCUAGCUCAGAUAGCCUAUGUGAUAAAGAAAAAAAGAAACAUCUGUGUAGACAAACAGCCACAGAAGUAGAUGCCUGUGUAGAUAUGACAGUAGCUGAAAAGCUUAAGAGUGUACAGGUUAAUGAAAAAAUCACGCCAUACUUAAUGCAUGCCAAGAAAACUGCAUUAAAAACACCGGUAAGCCGCAGAAUGCCUCAUGUUUCAAACACUAGCAAGCUUUCUCCAACUAAGAGGAGCUUGUCUGAAACAGUAACUCAUAGGGCCAAAAUCAUGAAAAUUGCCGCUAAGAAACGAAAUAGUGUUCAUGUUACUUUUAGACCAUCUACCGAGUCUGUCCAAUUUUAUAAUCCUCUGGAAAACAAAGAGGCUCCAUGGAAGAUGAGACUACGGAAGCUCAGUGGCUUUAGCAGUAAUAGCAGUAGCACCACCAGCAACACACAGACCAGCUCAACUAGUGGUACAGACCUUGUAAAGCCUGGUGUGUACAGACCUCUAGAUACAAUCGGUGCAGCAUCAGUUAGCAGAGCAGUGAGGGAAUCCACAGAGAUCCCCACAGCCACAUCACAGAAAGAAGGAAUGGCAAGUAACCAGGCAGGUAGUCGCAGUACUCUCAGGUCAUCGAGUCAGGAGACAGGACCACAGCAGGGCUCCCUGGGUGGCGUUUAUAAAACUGUUGUCCAUGCUCUUUCGAAGCCGAAGGCAAAUGUUUCCCCACAGAGGCAGAACAGAAUGCCACCCGAGGCUCCACUGAGGGAUCUGUACAGUCAUGUAAUGGGCUAUUUUGGAAGGAAAGCUGCAGUAAAUAAAGAGGACACGAGCCCCAAACUGCCUCCUCUUAAUAGUGAGACUGGUGGCAACAGCGCCAAUGUUCCUGACCUGAUGGAUGAGUUUAUCGCAGAGCGACUUCGAAGUGGCAAUGCCUCGACUAUGACAAGAAGGGGGAGUAGUCCAGGCAGCCUUGAAAUCCCGAAAGACCUCCCUGAUAUUCUAAACAAGCAGAACCAGAUGCGGCCUGUUGAUGACCCUGGUGUACCCUCCGAAUGGACGUCUCCAGCCAGUGCAGGGAGCAGUGAUCUCAUGAGCUCAGAUAGUCACUCGGAUUCCUUCAGUGCCUUCCAGUGUGAGGGACGAAAAUUUGACAACUUUGGCUUCGGGACUGACAUUGGGAUCCCAUCUUCUGCUGAUGUGGAUUUAGGUUCUGGCCAUCAUCAAAGCACUGAGGAGCAGGAAGUGGCCAGCCUAACUACGCUUCAUUUAGAUUCAGAAACAAGCAGCCUUAAUCAGCAAGCCUUCUCUGCAGAAGUUGCAACCGUUACUGGUUCAGAAAGUGCUUCCCCCGUUCAUUCAGCUCUGGGAUCCAGGUCGCAGACCCCCUCCCCAUCUACACUGAGCAGAGCUCACAUAGAACAGAAGGACCUACAGCUCGAUGAGAAGCUCCACCACUCUGUUCUUCAGACGCCGGAUGACCUAGAAAUCAGUGAAUUUCCAUCUGAAUGUUGUAGCGUGAUGGCAGGAGGUACUCUCACUGGGUGGCAUGCUGAUGUUGCUACUGUUAUGUGGCGCAGAAUGCUGGGCAUUUUGGGAGAUGUCAAUGCUAUUAUGGAUCCUGAAAUACAUGCUCAAGUUUUUGAUUACCUCUGUGAACUUUGGCAGAAUCUAGCCAAGAUCAGAGAUAACCUUGGCAUUUCAGCUGACAACCUGACUUCCCCUUCUCCACCCGUCCUGAUUCCUCCACUAAGAAUUCUUACACCUUGGCUUUUUAAGGCAACCAUGUUGACUGAUAAGUAUAAACAAGGUAAAUUACAUGCAUAUAAACUUAUUUGUAAUACAAUGAAGAGAAGACAAGAUGUAUCUCCAAAUAGAGAUUUUUUAACACAUUUCUACAAUAUAAUGCAUUGUGGAUUGCUUCAUAUUGACCAGGACAUUGUCAAUACGAUCAUCAAGCACUGCUCACCUCAGUUUUUUUCACUCGGUUUGCCUGGGGCCACGAUGCUUAUUAUGGAUUUUAUUAUAGCAGCUGGGAGAGUGGCUUCUUCGGCUUUUCUUAAUGCACCAAGAGUGGAAGCACAAGUUCUUCUGGGAUCUUUAGUUUGCUUUCCCAACUUAUAUUGUGAAUUGCCUGCUCUCCAUCCCAACAUUCCUGAUAUUGCUGUGUCUCAAUUUACAGAUGUUAAGGAACUUAUAAUUAAAACUGUAUUAAGCUCGGCAAGAGAUGAGCCCUCUGGUCCUGCACGAUGUGUAGCACUUUGCAGUUUAGGUAUUUGGAUUUGUGAAGAAUUAGUCCACGAAUCUCAUCAUCCUCAAAUUAAAGAAGCACUGAAUGUAAUUUGUGUUUCAUUAAAGUUUACUAAUAAAACAGUUGCCCACGUCGCCUGUAACAUGCUUCACAUGCUGGUUCACUAUGUCCCUAGACUUCAGAUUCACCAGCCGCAGUCUCCCCUGAAAAUUAUUCAGAUCCUAAUAGCAACUAUCACCCACCUUUUGCCAAGUACAGAAGCUUCAUCAUAUGAAAUGGACAAGAGGUUGGUUGUCUCAUUACUUCUUUGCCUUCUGGACUGGAUCAUGGCCUUACCUUUAAAGACACUGCUCCAACCAGUCCAUGCUACAGGAGCAGAAAAUGAUAAGACCGAAAAGUCUGUUCUCAACUGCAUUUAUAAGGUAUUACAUGGGUGUGUCUAUGGAGCGCAAAGUUUUAGCAAUCCCAAGUACUUUCCAAUAAGCCUUUCUGAUUUGGCAUCUGUAGAUUAUGAUCCGUUUAUGCAUUUGGAAAGUCUGAAAGAACCUGAACCUUUACACUCUCCAGAUUCAGAGCGGUCUUCUAAACUGCAGCCUGUGACAGAAGUGAAAACUCAGAUGCAACAAGGAUUAAUCUCUAUAGCAGCCCGUACUGUUAUUACCCAUCUGGUGAAUCACUUGGGCCAUUAUCCAAUGAGUGGUGGUCCUGCUAUGCUAACAAGUCAGGUGUGUGAAAAUCAUGACAAUCAUUACAGUGAAAGUACUGAACUUUCUCCUGAGCUCUUUGAAAGUCCAAACAUCCAGUUCUUUGUGCUGAAUAAUACAACCUUAGUGUCCUGUAUCCAGAUAAGAUCGGAAGAGAGUAUGCCUGGAGGAGGUCUAGCUGCUGGCCUUGUGUCAGCCAACUCAAAUGUUAGAAUCAUAGUACGUGAUCUCUCUGGAAAGUACUCAUGGGAUUCUGCCAUACUGUAUGGACCACCCAUUGUAAGUGGUUUGCCUGAACCUACAUCUUUCAUACUUUCAAUGUCUGACCAAGAGAAACCGGAAGAGCCUCCUACAUCUAACGAAUGCUUAGAAGACAUCGCAGUAAAAGAUGGGCUUUCUCUCCAGCUUAGAAGAUUUAGAGAAACUGUACCAACUUGGUCUACGAUACGAGAGGAAGAAGAUGUUCUUGACGAGCUCCUGCAGUAUUUAGGCACUACAAGUCCUGAGUGUUUACAGAGAACGGGAAUCUCCCUCAAUGUUCCUGCUCCACAGCCUCUGUGCAUUUCUGAAAAACAGGAGAAUGAUGUCAUUAAUGCUAUCCUUAAGCAAUACACGGAAGAAAAAGAGUUUGUAGAGAAGCACUUUAAUGACUUAAACAUGAAAGCCUCAGAACAAGAUGAGCCAACACCUCAGAAACCUCAGUCAGCUUUUUAUUACUGCAGAUUGCUUCUUAGUAUAUUGGGAAUGAAUUCCUGGGACAAACGGAGGAGCUUUCAUCUCUUGAAGAAAAAUGAAAAGCUGCUCAGAGAACUUAGGAACUUGGAUUCAAGGCAAUGCCGAGAGACACACAAGAUUGCAGUAUUUUACGUUGCUGAAGGACAAGAAGAUAAAUACUCCAUUCUCACCAAUAUAGGAGGAAGCCAAGCAUAUGAAGAUUUUGUAGCUGGCCUUGGUUGGGAGGCUGUAAUGGGUACUUGACUAGGAAGCUGCAGAGCCGUGAAGUGGACCUGGCCUAGCUGCCUUGAGAGGCAUGCAUCAUAGGUUUCUCAGGUAAACCUUACAAACCACUGUGGCUUCAUGGGAGGCCUUCAGAAGAACAGAAGCACUGGACUGACCACUCCCUAUUUUGCUACCUCGACAGUAGAAGUAAUAUUUCAUGUAUCUACACGAAUGCCUUCUGAUUCUGAUGACUCUCUGACCAAAAAAUUGAGACAUCUAGGAAAUGAUGAAGUGCACAUUGUUUGGUCAGAACAUACUAGAGACUACAGGAGAGGAAUUAUUCCUACUGAGUUUGGUGAUGUCCUCAUUGUAAUAUACCCAAUGAAAAACCACAUGUUCAGUAUCCAGAUCAUGAAAAAACCAGAGGUUCCCUUCUUUGGUCCACUUUUUGAUGGUGCUAUUGUGAAUGGAAAAGUUCUGCCCAUUAUGGUUCGAUCCACAGCAAUAAAUGCUAGCCGUGCUCUGAAAUCACUGAUUCCAUUGUAUCAAAAUUUCUAUGAGGAGAGAGCACGGUACCUGCAGACAAUUGUCCAGCACCAUUUAGAGCCAACAACAUUUGAAGACUUUGCAGCACAGGUUUUCUCUCCAGCUCCCUACCAUCAUUUCCCUGCUGACGCAGAUCAUUAAGUGUCAGUUCUGUUUAUCUGAAGGAUCCUACCCAGAGAUUCCACCCAGUGACGCUGCCCCAGCAGCACAGGUAGACGGGGCUGACCUGGCCUCUCCCAUGUCUCCUCGAACUAGCAAAAGCCGCAUGUCCAUGAAGCUGCGUCGGUCCUCUGGCUCAGCCAAUAAAUCCUAAGGAGACAACCAGCCUGGCAGUGAGCAGCAGUAGCCGCCCUGAUCAGCAGUAGUGUUAACUCUUUCAGGCCUCGCGUGUUUGCCAUAACACUCAUGCUCCUUCCUGUGCGUUUAUCUGAAAAAACACUGGACUUCAAAACUUACUAUUUUAAGUUUGGACUAUUUAUUUAAUUCAGGUUUUUUCCACACUCCAAGCUGCCAUAUUUUGAGGGUUGAGUUUUAUUCCAUACUUCACGUUCCUAGAUAAUCAUGUCUAAGUGGUGUUACCUUCAAGUUCAUGAUGAAUGUUGAGACAAAAUAUAAUUGGACAGAUAGUCUUGUGGUUAUUUAUUGUGCCUCAUUACAACUUUAUGAUUCAAUAACUACAUAGUUUUUACUAAUUUUUUUGGCGGUGCUGGGAAUAGAAGCCAGUAUCCCAAGCAUGCUAGGCAAGCACACUGUCCUUCACAGCCCAGUGCUACACAUUUAAAUUAAUGGAAGCAUUUAGAGAGCUAGAGCAAAGCUGCACAUCUGUUUGUCACAUAGGCUGUACACAGAGUAUUUGUGUUACAGAGAGAAACACUCCUAAUGGCAGUGCAGCAGCUCAGAUUCCAACUGAAAUUACUUACAUGUGGUAACAUUUUCUUCCCAAGUUGGUAUCUCAUUUCUGGGCAGUGCAGGUGAUAGCGGCACAUACUCAGUACCCAGGAAGCCCACCACUGACCUUUGAUUUCCGUUUAGCUUCCAGACAACUUUGUUCUGCCUUUUUAGGUGGCAUCACUGCUAAAUGCUAUUUCUGUUUUGAGGCUGUGGUCUUUUAUUAUUGACCAGUUUAUCCCGGUGUGUCUGUGUACUUUCUUAAGUACCAAAAAAGGUGAUGGAGAAAAGGGGGAAAAGCUUGUUUUUGCUCAAAUUAUGUGUAUUGUUAAAAAGCAAUGGAACAUGACCCACAAGUCUAAGUUAAAUAUAAUAUUUUAGUACUAAACUUGGCUGCAGGUGCAGGUUGGUAUGCACCCCACCUCCAGAAGUAUUUCCUGUAGUAAAUAAGCAGUCUCCUUUUGUUUAACAUGGGCAUCUCCUAAGGAAAUGUAGCAUGAUUGAUACCAACUGCAUGUGUAAAUAUAUCAUCCUGACAAACCACAGAAUAUAAAUUAUGUAUCAUUCAUGUAGUGUCUACAGAUUUGUAAUGGGACAAAAAGAUGACAUGGUAUUUAAUAAAAACAAAAUAAAAAUAUUCUUCACACUUCCUGUC